CCUACGGGUGGCUGCAGUAGGGAAUAUUGGACAAUGGGCGCAAGCCUGAUCCAGCCAUCCCGCGUGAAGGAUGAAGGUCCUCUGGAUUGUAAACUUCUUUUCUUCGGGAAUAAAAACUGGGGUUCUCCUCAGCUUGAAGGUACCGAAGGAAUAAGCACCGGCUACCUCCGUGCCAGCAGCCGCGGUAAUACGGAGGGUGCAAGCGUUAUCCGGAUUCACUGGGUCGAAGGGGGCCGUAGAAGUCUGUGGAGAAAGCUCGGAGCUCAACUCCGAAACUGCCAUUGAUACUGCUUAGCUUGAAUCAGGUCGAGGUGGAUGGAAUGUGACAUGUAGCGGUGAAAUGCUUAGAUAUGUUACAGAACACCGAUUGCGAAGGCAGUUCACCAGCCCUGUAUUGACACUGAGGCACGAAAGCGUGGGGAUCAAACAGGAUUAGAUACCCCUGUAGUC
rnacentral:rRNA from 1 species